UACGUAGGGUGCGAGCGUUGUCCGGAAUGACUGGGCGUAAAGGGCGCGUAGGCGGCUCGUGAAGUCGGGUGUGAAAGCCCGGGGCUCAACCCCGGAACGGCAUCCGAUACUGGCGGGCUUGAGAACGGGAGAGGAGGGUGGAAUACCCAGUGUAGAGGUGAAAUUCGUAGAUAUUGGGUGGAACACCGGUGGCGAAGGCGGGUCUCUGGGCCGUAACUGACGCUGAGGAGCGAAAGCGUGGGGAGCGAACAGG
rnacentral:rRNA from 1 species